rnacentral:rRNA from 1 species
CAGUCGCCACGGUAAUACCAGCAGCCCAAGUGGUGGUCGCGAUUAUUGGGCCUAAAGCGCUCGUAGCCGGGCCGGUAAGUCCCUUGUGAAAUCGGACGGCCUAACCGUUCGGCGUGCAAGGGAUACUGUCGGUCUUGAGGCCGGGAGACGUCCGAGGUACUCCGGGGGUAGCGGUGAAAUGUUCUGAUCCUCGGGGGACCACCGGUGGCGAAGGCGUUCGACGAGAACGAGCCUGACGGUGAGGGGCGAAGGCUAGGGGAGCAAACGGGAUUAGAUACCCCCGUAGUCCCUGUUUCUUAUU